GACGAACGCUGGCGGCGUGCCUAAUACAUGCAAGUAGAACGCUGAAGGAGGAGCUUGCUUCUCUGGAUGAGUUGCGAACGGGUGAGUAACGCGUAGGUAACCUGCCUGGUAGCGGGGGAUAACUAUUGGAAACGAUAGCUAAUACCGCAUAAUAGCAGUUGUUGCAUGAUAACUGUUUGAAAGGUGCAAUUGCACCACUACCAGAUGGACCUGCGUUGUAUUAGCUAGUUGGGGGGGUAACGGCUCACCAAGGCGACGAUACAUAGCCGACCUGAGAGGGGUAUCGGCCACACUGGGACUGAGACACGGCCCAAACCCCUACGGGAGGCAGCAGUAGGGAAUCUUCGGCAAUGGACGGAAGUCUGACCGAGCAACGCCGCGUGAGUUAAGAAGGUUUUCGGAUCGUAAAGCUCUGUUGUAAGAGAAGAACGAGUGUGAGAGUGGAAAGUUCACACUGUGACGGUAUCUUACCAGAAAGGGACGGCUAACUACGUG
rnacentral:rRNA from 1 species